GUCUGGGAGAGGCCACGCGCCCCUGGGUCCGGGUGAGGCCAUGUGUCCCUGGAUCCGGGUGAGGCCUUGCGCACCUAG
rnacentral:pre_miRNA from 1 species